UGAGGAAUAUUGGUCAAUGGGCGCGAGCCUGAACCAGCCAAGUCGCGUGAGGGAUGACGGCCCUACGGGGUUGUAAACCUCUUUUGUCGGGGAGCAAAUUCCGCCACGUGUGGCGGAGUCGAGAGUACCCGAAGAAAAAGCAUCGGCUAACUCCGUGCCAGCAGCCGCGGUAAUACGGAGGAUGCGAGCGUUAUCCGGAUUUAUUGGGUUUAAAGGGUGCGUAGGCGGACUGUCAAGUCAGCGGUAAAAUACGGGGCUGGCAUCCAUCCGUCCCGCCCGUCGUAAGCAAUGACGGUCUUGAGUGGGCGAGAAGUAUGCGGAAUGCGUGGUGUAGCGGUGAAAUGCAUAGAUAUCACGCAGAACUCCGAUUGCGAAGGCAGCAUACCGGCGCCAACUAGACGCUGAAGCACGAAAGCGUGGGUAUCGAACAGGAUUAGAUACC
rnacentral:rRNA from 1 species